GGUCCUCUCCAGAGCUCAUCAUUUCCAUCAGAUCACCGCCACUCCUUCUGGUUAUUUCAUGUGUGCUGUAGAGAUGAGCGAGGCCUGUCCUCUUCAGAGCUCGCCAUUUCCAUCAGAUCACCGCCGCUCCUUCCGGUUAUUUCAUGUGUGUAGGGAUGAGCGAGGCCUGUCCUCUCCAGACCUCCUCAUUUCCAUCAGAUCACUGCCGCUCCUUCCGGUUAUUUCAUGUGUGUAGGGAUGAGCGAGGCCUGUCCUCUCCAGAGCUCGCUAUUUUCAUCAGAUCUCCACCGCUCCUUUCGGUUAUUUCAUGUGCUGUAGGGAUGAGCGGGGCCUGUCCUCUCCAGAGCUCCUCAUUUCCAUCAGAUCACUGCCGCUCCUUCCGGUUAUUUCAUGUGUGUAGGGAUGAGCGAGGCCUGUCCUCUCCAGAGCUCGUCAUUGCCUUCAGAUCACUGCCGCUCCUUCCGGUUAUUUCAUGUGUGUAGCGAUGAGUGAGGCCUGUCCUCUCCAGAGCUCG